GCUCCUGUGGCCUAGUGGUUAGAGCAUCCGCCCCAGAUGCUGGAGGUUGUGGGUUCGAUCCCCUAUUGAGUCA